UACAUGGGGUGCAAACGUUGCUCGGAAUUAUUGGGCGUAAAGCGCGCGUAGGCGGUUACUCAAGUCGGAUGUGAAAGCCCUCGGCUUAACUGAGGAAGUGCACCCGAAACUGAGUAGCUAGAGUACUAAAGAGGGUCGCGGAAUUCCCGGUGUAGAGGUGAAAUGCGUAGAUAUCGAGAGGAACACCAGUGGCGAAGGCGAGUCCCUGGACAACACCUGACACUGAGGCACGAAAGCCGGGGGAGCAAACAGG
rnacentral:rRNA from 1 species